rnacentral:lncRNA from 1 species
CUGAAGGAACACAAAUAUAUAGCUAUAUAGAUAUAUAGAUAUCCUUUUCCUAAGGUUUGAUCCCCCCAAGAAUAAAAUAGAAUAUUUACACAACAAACCCCCCGAAACCUCUUAAAAACCCUACAGAGAAAAAAAAAUUUCCCAAAGCAACAAGAAAAAAACAAAAAUUCAGUGAUCUUGGUUCAGGGGUUUCACUGGACACGAGAAGCUGGGAGUGGUGAGUGUGUGGUGAAUAGAAAAUAAAAGAGAACUAAAGCAGACAAAAAUGAAAACACACAGUGCAGGGAUGUAUGAGGUAAACAGGAUCGGCCCACGCUGCUGUGGGGCCAAACCAGACACCAGAGCCUUCGGUCCGUCAGGGCUGCCUGAACGCCCUGGGAAACGUCUGCCUCUUUCUGUUUUUCUGAUGGAUUUCCUUUGCUGUUCUCACAAUUCAUCUCUCUGAAUGUCCAAAACCUGAGAAAUUCAAGUGUUCCUUGGUUUUCCCCUGUUUUAUUAAAUUCUCUUUAUAUAUAUACGUAUAUAUAUAUAUAUAUAUAUAUAUAUUUUCUCUUCUUUUUGGCGUCAGCUGUGGCUCCUUUCUGGAUAUCUUCCCUCCCCACCCGUAUCUUCCGCCAUCCUGGCCCCUGUGUGGCCCACCUGGACCCCCUUCCCAGGCCGGCGGGCUCCAGGGUGGGUGGCGGGUGGGGAGUGAUGCGGUUAAGGCAACGAGUUAUUUGAGGUAGAUGUGGAGGGUGUGGACAGCCCUGCUGGCCCAGCCUGGCCGCCGCUGGUUCCGGUGUUUCCUCCCCGGCCGCCUGCGUUGCUGCUGCUGCCGCCGCCGCCGCCUCCUUUGUUGGGAGCAGAGGUUGGCGUGGGGGCCGGCGGCUGAGCAAACAGAACUCCUAAGGUAAGAACAGAAGACAUAUGCCAUGCAGAGUUUAAGAAGAUGCGAGGCGGGCCACAAGGGAGACCCAGUGGGGUGCUCCGGGGAAUAAACUUCUCUCUCACUCUGUCCCCCAGGCUGGAGUGCAGUGGUGCCAUCAGAGCUCACUGCAGCCUCAACCUCAUGGGCUCAAGUGAUCCUCCCAGCUCAGCCUCCCGAGUAGCUGAGAGUGUAGUGGUGCGAUAUUGGCUCACUGCAACCUCCACCUCCUGGGUUCAAGCGGUUUUCCUGUCUCACCCUCCUGAGUAGCUGGGACUAACUACAGGCGCCUGCCACUACAUCAGCCAAUUUUUGUAUUUUUAGUACAGACGGAGUUUCGCCAGGCUGGUCUCCAACUCCUGACGUCAGGUGAUCCACCCACCUUGGCCUCCCAGAGUGCUGGGAUGACAGGCAUGAGCCACUGUGGCUGGCAAUUUUUUAGCAAUUUUUUAUUUUUUGUAGAGAUGGUCUCUCACUAUG